rnacentral:rRNA from 1 species
GACGAACGCUGGCGGCGUGCUUAACACAAGCAAGUCGAACGGAAAGGCCCUGCUUUUGUGGGGUGCUCGAGUGGCGAACGGGUGAGUAACACGUGAGUAACCUGCCCUUGACUUUGGGAUAACUUCAGGAAACUGGGGCUAAUACCGGAUAGGAGCUCCUGCUGCAUGGUGGGGGUUGGAAAGUUUCGGCGGUUGGGGAUGGACUCGCGGCUUAUCAGCUUGUUGGUGGGGUAGUGGCUUACCAAGGCUUUGACGGGUAGCCGGCCUGAGAGGGUGACCGGCCACAUUGGGACUGAGAUACGGCCCAGACUCCUACGGGAGGCAGCAGUGGGGAAUAUUGCACAAUGGGCGGAAGCCUGAUGCAGCAACGCCGCGUGCGGGAUGACGGCCUUCGGGUUGUAAACCGCUUUCGCUUGUGACGAAGCGUGAGUGACGGUAAUGGGUAAAGAAGCACCGGCUAACUACGUG